GCAAGUCGAACGAGAAAGUACCUUCGGGUGCGAGUAUAGUGGCGCACGGGUGAGUAACACGUAGGUGACCUACCUUUUAGUUUGGGAUAACUAGUGGAAACGCUGGCUAAUACCGGAUGUUCAUUUAGGCUUAAAUACCUAAAUGCAAAGGGGGCUUCGGCUCUCGCUAGAAGAUGGGCCUGCAAGGCAUUAGCUUGUUGGUGGGGUAAUGGCCUACCAAGGCGAUGAUGUCUAGCUGGUCUGAGAGGAUGAUC
rnacentral:rRNA from 1 species